AUUAUUGCGCGGAGGCGGUACCAUAGCCAAUGAGGGUUAUCCGAAGCGUGGUUAUUGCUAGUUGAAAAUCAUCAUCAUCAUCAUCAUCAUCAUGUUGUUGUUGUUGUUGUUGUUGUUGUUGUUGUUGUUG
rfam:Octopus bimaculoides Scaffold4580_contig_189, whole genome shotgun sequence.